GAGUACGUGAAACUGUGUGGUGGUAAACGGAGGGGUUCUCGAAGUUUCUGUGGGGAACUCAACUUUGGUGUUGGGCGGUCUGGGCGUAUCCGAUCAGCAAUGACGGUGCGUUUGGUCUGGCUUGACUCCCGGGUGCAUUUUCCCCGCAGUUUACGGCAGGAACCGUUUGGCUCGGAUCAAAGGCCUUGGGUGAAGUUGUCGGUUCUGCUGGCAGCCCCUUGUGUCCUGGCUCUGCGCCCGACGGGUACGUGAGAGGACUCGUAUAGCGAGCAACGCUCUGUUGCGGUCCUCAUCUCUCUGCCGAGUAGGUCGGCGGCCCCUCCGACCCGUCUUGAAACACGGA
rnacentral:rRNA from 1 species